GUGGAAGGCAGCACACACUGAGAGGGGGUGAGGAGUAGAUAAGAGGGCAGGUGCUGAGCCACCGUUUGGAUGUAAAUCCUGGUUCUACCGUCCUGUGACCUUGGGGAACAGCAUUUUCUAAAAGAAGAGCGGAAGGGAAGAGGGUGUCAAGAGAGGAGAAAACAACCGAGAUAGAAACAAAGCACAUCAUCCCAGCUAAGCUGAACCUGUCCGAAAAACCACGAAAACUUUCCUUUCCCCGUAAUGAGCCCCAGUGGGAACCUGGCAAAGGAGCUCUUCAGAGGUUUCAGGAACCUGUUACCCUCAUCCUGGGAGUCAAGAUGGGAGCAGGUUGAUAAGGGAGAAACAGAGACUGCAGCAAAUUAAGGAAAUAGAAGACCGUGCAUUUGUCAUUUUGUAAUAUUAUUACUUAAAUAUUCCCAAUAAGUGUAAAAGAAUCCAACCUCUCCUGCCUCUUGAUGACCUAAAACUAUUACUGACAAAAUGUAUCCUCUGUGGUUUAGUCCUGAUUCGAGAUGUGGAAGACAGUGAAGCCUUUCCUGGCAUUAGCAGUCAGACUGUAAUAACCAGAAGGUGGAGAAAAAUACAUGAAAACUAUGGA
ensembl:lncRNA